rnacentral:lncRNA from 1 species
CUUCCGGUGGUGGCUGAGGGCUCGUGCUCGAGGCUGAGGGAUGCUGGUGACUCCCGGGGUCCCCAGCCCCGCCCCCAUCGGACGCCUCCACAGGCGGCGCACCCUUUCCGCCAUCCGCAGAGCAAGGCUGCCUCGGGGCGGCUCAGUCCGGCGCUUCUUACCUUACCUCCGUCUCAUCCUUAACUCACCACGAGCGUCCAGGGUCCACAUCCUCCUAAAUGGCCACUCGUCUUAAUCUCGGCGUCAGGACCCACGCGGGGUCAGGACUACCCCUCCGCUUCCAUGACUGUCUCCUCGCGGCUCCGGCUCCCACGGAGCGACCCCUCCGGGUUUUACUGACCCCGGGAUGUUGUAUCCUGGAAACUGCAGUUCCACCCAGGGGCUUGAUCUGGGUUAGUCUGGGGGCAAGUGAGCCGCCGAUUCUGUUUGGGUUUUUUUUUUUUUUUUUUUGAGACGGAGUUUCCCUCUUGUUGCCCGGGCUGGAGUGCAAUGGCGCGAAGUCGGCUCAACGCAACCUCCGCCUCCCAGGUUCAAGCGACUCUUCUGCCUCAGCCUCCCAAGUAGCUGGGACUACAGGCAUGCGCCACCACGCCAGGCUAAUUUUGUAUUUUUAGUAGAGACGGGGUUUCUCCAUGUUGGUCUGGCUGGUCUUGAACUCCCGAGCUCAGGUGAUCUGCCCGCCUCGGACUCCCAAAGUGCUGGGAUUACAGGCGUGAGCCACCAUUCCCGGGCGCUGUUUGGGUUUGUUUUUUUGUUUUUGUUUUUUACGUUCACAGCAUGGACGGUCAGUGUGAAGAUCCCAGCUGCUCGGGUCCUAGCUGGAAUUCUUCCAUUAAAAAAAUCUGUUUGUUAUGCAUGGGUUAGUUCACAGAGGAAUAGCUGGAUAAGUGCUGGCUUUUUCCCCGAUUUACCCAUUUUCAACCUAAUAAUGCAGGUUUUUGAAAUAAUGUGAAUGGUUACUGCUGGCGGAUGUUCACAGGGACACACCGGAUUCUACAGACACAUCUGAUGAUCUAGCCACGGCUGUCACUUUCCCCACUGCCGCGUUGUCCAUCACUAGGACUUUACUGCCAAUCCUUGCAAGAUAGUGGGGAACUAGAAUAACAGACAUGGGACAUUACCAGUUACAACCAAAGACAAGCUUGGCACAUUUGACUGUCCUCGUUCCUGCUCCUCCGUGCCUGGCCCUCUUCAGGCUUCUCAGCUCCUGGGGAGCGGCCAGCCAGGGAGCAUCAGCUGGUGGGAGCGAUGGGGUUGUGGGAUGGCACAAAAAAACACCAAGCGCCACUCAGAAAGGAAAUGCCGAAUGCAGACUCUCACUCAGUCGGUGUGGGGGCCAGGACCCUGUCUCUACCAAGUGUGCGGGAGCUGCCCCUGGCCGGGAGCUCCCAGACCCCACUGCAGAGCCGCAGCUCCAGUUGUCCCAGGGGCUCUGUGCCCCUGACCCCAAGGAUAUGCACAGGUCACAAGGCAGAGCCCCCGCUAGACAGCAGGAGCACCCUGCUCUGUCAGCCUGCUUCCCCAGGACGGAGGCCCUGGUGGUAAGGCAGGCAGGUCUUGAGCCCCCACAAGACAGCAGGAUACAACAUAACCCUUUUUAAUCUGAAGUGUAGACUUCAUCCUCACGUUAGAAAACUCCAUCUUUUUUUU